rnacentral:rRNA from 1 species
UACGAAGGGGGCUAGCGUUGUUCGGAAUCACUGGGCGUAAAGCGCUCGUAGGCGGAUUUUUAAGUCAGGGGUGAAAUCCCGAGGCUCAACCUCGGAACUGCCUUUGAUACUGGGAAUCUCGAGUCCGGGAGAGGUGAGUGGAACUGCGAGUGUAGAGGUGAAAUUCGUAGAUAUUCGCAAGAACACCAGUGGCGAAGGCGGCUCACUGGCCCGAUACUGACGCUGAGGCACGAAAGCGUGGGGAGCAAACAGG